rnacentral:rRNA from 1 species
UAAACAGCAGAGCUUAACCCUCGUACCUUUUGCAUCAUGGUCUAGCCAGUCCAAUCAAGCAAAAUGAAUUUUAAGUUUGACUCCCCGAAAUUAAGUGAGCUACUUCGAAACAGUUUUAAGAACCAACUCAUCCCUGUUGCAAAAGGGUGAGAAGAUUUCUAAGUAGAGGUGAUAAGCCUACCGCACUUAAAAAUAGCUGGUUAUUCAAGAAAAGAAUUUAAGUUCAACCUUAAGCUUCCUCCUUAAACAAAAAAUUUUACUAAGCUUAAGAGCUACUCGAAUAAGGCACAGCUUAUUCGAAGCAGGAUACAACCUAUAAUAUAGGGUAACACCAAAAAUAAUUAACAAGUGGGCCUAAAAGCAGCCACCUUCUAAAAAGCGUUAAAGCUUAUUAUAUUUAUACAACCAAUGUCUUCACUAACCUGAAACCCAUUAACAAUAUUGAAUAACUCCAUAAUAAUAUGGAAGAUAUUAUGCUAGAACUAGUAAUAAGAAAUAGAAUUUCUCCAAAAUGUAAGCUUAGCCACACUAGACUUUCUGCUGGCAAUUAACGCAAAUGAACCAAUUAUAGUAACUAAUCAAGAAAACACUAUUAACCUCAACGUUAACCUUACACUAGAACAUUUAUGGAACGAUUAAAAGAGAGAGAAGGAACUCGGCAAACUUCAACCCCGCCUGUUUACCAAAAACAUCGCCUCUUGACAAAAUAUAAGAGGUCCAGCCUGCCCAGUGACAAAAUUCAACGGCCGCGGUACCCUAACCGCGCGAAGGUAGCAUAAUCACUUGUUCUUUAAAUAAGGACUAGUAUCAACGGCAUCACGAGGGUUUUACUGUCUCCUCCCCCCGAUCAAUGAAACUGAUCUCUCCGUGAAGAAGCGGAGAUUUAACUAUAAGACGAGAAGACCCCAUGGAGCUUCAAACCUACUACACCCCCAGUCCAAAUACCCAUACACUAAUAGGGCCCUGUAUGUAAUGGUUUUAGGUUGGGGUGACCGCGGAGCACAAAUCAACCUCCACGAUGAACAGGACUAACCCUUUAUCUAAGAAUCACCACUCUAAGAAUUAGUAUACUAACAUCAAAUGAUCCGAUAUUCGAUCAACGAACCAAGUUACCCUGGGGAUACAGCGCAAUCCACUUCAGAGCCCCUAUCGACAAGUGGGUUUACGACCUCGAUGUUGGAUCAGGGUAUCCUAG